AGCUGUUCCCCUCUGGAGGUUUUUUAACCUUCACACUUAUAAGGGCCCUGGUUUUCCAGUGGCCCUCUUUUUUUGCCUUG
rnacentral:misc_RNA from 1 species